GCUGAGAGUAAAAUGGUGGUAACCAGAGGUUGAUGCGAAGGGCGGAUGGAGAAAAAAGGGACAUAAGUCAAAGAGUAUAAAGAUUCAGUUAGGGUACAACUUUUAUUAUUUGAGGUCACGACAGUGAGUCCCUACUAAGGCAAAGCCUACGAGCCCUGGGAAUGGGACUGCCACUGGAACCACGAAACUGUGGAAUCACUGGCAGCAUGCCAGACUUGCCUAGGAAAACUUCAGGCACUGGACUUCAACACUUUGUGAAGAAGGUCCUUGCUUUGCCAUCACCUUCUGCCAUGACUGGAAGUUUCCUGAAGCCUCCCCAGCCAUGUAAAACUGCUUAAUGAGAAGUCCAACAAAAGAGAGAGAGAGGGAGAGAAAGAGAAUGGAACUUUUAUUUUGCUGCAAACCACAACAACUUUGUAAUGGGCACUUCUGAAUCAUACAUAUUUGUUCCACGGAACACUAUGUGCUGCAGGAGACUUUAGCCACCUGAGAAGCUCAAAACUGAUGAAACUUUGAACCCACACUCAUCUUUCAACCAGAAAAUGCUCAUUUUCAAUGUUAAACUUCUAAGUAAGAUUGUUUGAAAACACAAUUUUGCUGAUAAAGUAAAUUACUUUUUAAAAAUUGCUAUAGCAAAUGGAGUAUUCUAUCAGUUGGCUACUAAAAUUGAAUAUCAUUUGAAAAUAAAUGCUAUGCUUAAAUUUCUUCAGGAUACCAGUAUUUUUAUUUUAUGUUAUUCAAGGGAGCAAAACUCAUUUUUCUAGAAUUAAAAAAAAUCCAAGAAAGGAAUUCCAUUUUUGAAAUGAUCUGAAUUUACGUAACUCUAUAAUAAAA
rnacentral:lncRNA from 1 species